AACCGGAUUAGAUACCCUGGUUCGUUCCACGCCCUAAACGAUGUUCAACUAGCUUGUUGGGGCCUUCGGGCCUUGGUAGCGCAGCUAACGCGUGAAGUUGACCGCCUGGGGAGUACGGUCGCAAGAUUAAAACUCAAAGGAAUUGACGGGGACCCGCACAAGCGGUGGAUGAUGUGGAUUAAUUCGAUGCAACGCGAAAAACCUUACCUACCCUUGACAUGUCUGGAAUGCCGAAGAGAUUUGGCAGUGCUCGCAAGAGAACCGGAACACAGGUGCUGCAUGGCUGUCGUCAGCUCGUGUCGUGAGAUGUUGGGUUAAGUCCCGCAACGAGCGCAACCCUUGUCAUUAGUUGCUACGAAAGGGCACUCUAAUGAGACUGCCGGUGACAAACCGGAGGAAGGUGGGGAUGACGUCAAGUCCUCAUGGCCCUUAUGGGUAGGGCUUCACACGUCAUACAAUGGUCGGGACAGAGGGUCGCCAACCCGCGAGGGGGAGCCAAUCCCAGAAACCCGAUCGUAGUCCGGAUCGCAGUCUGCAACUCGACUGCGUGAAGUCGGAAUCGCUAGUAAUCGCGGAUCAGCAUGUCGCGGUGAAUACGUUCCCGGGUCUUGUACACACCGCCCGUCACACCAUGGGAGUGGGUUUUACCAGAAGUAGUUAGCCUAACCGCAAGGGGGGCGAUUACCACGGUAGGAUUCAUGACUGGGGUGAAGUCGUAACAAGGUAACC
rnacentral:rRNA from 1 species